rnacentral:lncRNA from 1 species
CUUGACGCUCGCUCCGAGGAACUUGCAGCAGCAAAUCAGCGAAUUUCCCGACAAUCGGAGGCAGUGGAAGAUGCUCGGCAGGCUGUGGCCGAUGCGGAAGUCAAAUGUCUCGCUACUGCAGAUGAAGCUGCUCACACAUUUCAUCGUCUUUGUAUCGCCAACAGAACCAUUUUAGAGAUGAGCUACGCAGAAAAAGAAUUUCGUGCUGAUGCGCAUAUUCACGACCAAGAACUCAAGGCAGUGGGCGAAGACCUUGCAACGCUGACACGCGAACAACAAAAAAUGAACGCUGAACUCGUCAAAUUUGCAAUUGAACGUGACCUGGCAAUAUCUGCAUUAAACGAGAUGAACGUGUCAAAAGUCGAAAUGGAUACUUCGGUCAAGGCCACCAAGAAAGAAUUGGAAGAUGUGGUGGUGGCAUACCAAGAACUCGGAUCUGAAAAUCGACGUCUGAUUGCAGCUGUGUCUGCUCUCGAGCGCGACAGUCAGCGCGCAAAAAUGGCUCAAGUUAUCAGCGAGGCAGCGCUUGAUAAAGCAUUCACUCGGAUUAAAAUGCUGGAAGAACAAAAUUCUCAGUUUAUCAUUGAGAUCCAGGCUUUCGAAAGACAGGUAGAAAAUUUGUCUCGUUCGCUUACAGAUUCGAAACUAAACGGUAUAGGUGCAAAUCAAGAAAUUUCAGACUUGCACGAUCGACUCGCAGCCUCACAUGCUUUAGCAAUGGAACUUGGCCGCGCGCGCGAACAGACUCAAAGGGAGCUUGUUGCAGCGGAGUCAAGCCUUCAUGUCAUGCGGAAACGGCUGACAUACUCACAGGAUGAGUGCGACACGAUCAGUCUACGCUUGAGAAUCGCGUCAGACCGUGUCCGCGAACUCGAAACGUUACUCGCGGACACCCGGGCGAAAGAGCACAGGAGAGAUAUAUCCUCCUUGGACGCUGACCGACAUGUAUCGCA